rnacentral:rRNA from 1 species
UACGGGGGGGGUAAGCGUUGCUCGGAAUUACUGGGCGUAAAGGGCUCGUAGGCGGCCAACUAAGUCAUACGUGAAAUCCCUCAGCUUAACUGGGGAACUGCGUGUGAUACUGGAUGGCUUGGAUGUGGGAGAGGGAUGCGGAAUUCCAGGUGUAGCGGUGAAAUGCGUAGAUAUCUGGAGGAACACCGGUGGCGAAGGCGGCAUCCUGGACCAUUAUUGACGCUGAGGAGCGAAAGCCAGGGGAGCAAACGGG